rnacentral:rRNA from 1 species
AAUCAACGCUGGCGGCGUGCCUCAGACAUGCAAGUCGAACGAUUAAAGCUCUCUUCGGAGAGUGCAUAGAGUGGCGCACGGGUGAGUAACACGUAGGUAAUCUACCCUCGAGUGGGGAAUAACGUCCGGAAACGGACGCUAAUACCGCAUAAUGCAGCGGCACCGCAAGGUGACAGUUGUUAAAGAUUUAUCGCUUGAGGAGGAGCUUGCGGCAGAUUGGCUAGUUGGUAAGGUAAUGGCUUACCAAGGCUACGAUCUGUAACCGGUCUAAGAGGACGGUCGGUCACACUGACACUGAAGAACGGGUCAGACUCCUACGGGAGGCAGCAGUCGGGAAUUUUGGGCAAUGGGCGAAAGCCUGACCCAGCAACGCCGCGUGAAGGAUGAAGUAUUUCGGUAUGUAAACUUCGAAAGAAUAGGAAGAAUUAAUGACGGUACUAUUUAUAAGGUCCGGCUAACUACGUGCCAGCAGCCGCCGUAACAC